rnacentral:rRNA from 1 species
CCUACGGGAGGCAGCAGUGGGGAAUAUUGGACAAUGGGCGAAAGCCUGAUCCAGCAAUGCCGCGUGAGUGAUGAAGGCCUUCGGGUCGUAAAGCUCUUUUACCAGGGAUGAUAAUGACAGUACCUGGAGAAUAAGCUCCGGCUAACUCCGUGCCAGCAGCCGCGGUAAUACGGAGGGAGCUAGCGUUGUUCGGAAUUACUGGGCGUAAAGAGUACGUAGGCGGUUAUUCAAGUCAGAGGUGAAAGCCCGGGGCUCAACCCCGGAACUGCCUUUGAAACUAGAUAACUAGAGUCUUGGAGAGGUUAGUGGAAUUCCGAGUGUAGAGGUGAAAUUCGUAGAUAUUCGGAAGAACACCAGUGGCGAAGGCGACUAACUGGACAAGUACUGACGCUGAGGUACGAAAGCGUGGGGAGCAAACAGGAUUAGAUACCCUGGUAGUCCACGCCGUAAACGAUGAUAACUAGUUGUUCGGUCACUUGGUGACUGAGUGACGCAGCUAACGCAUUAAGUUAUCCGCCUGGGGAGUACGGUCGCAAGNUUAAACUUAAAGGAAUUGACGGNUGNGANGCGAGACGACACGAGGAGAG